AUUGAACGCUGGCGGUAUGCUUAACACAUGCAAGUCGAACGGCAGCAUGGUCUAGCUUGCUAGACUGAUGGCGAGUGGCGGACGGGUGAGUAACGCGUAGGAAUAUGCCUUGAAGAGUGGGACAACUUGGGGAAACUCAAGCUAAUACCGCAUGUACUCGAGAGAGUAAAGCUGGGGACCUUUAGGACUGGCGCUUUAAGAUUCGCCUGCGUCCGAUUAGCUAGUUGGUAGGGUAAAGGCCUACCAAGGCGACGAUCGGUAGCUGGUCUGAGAGGAUGAUCAGCCACACUGGAACUGAGAGACGGUCCAGACUCCUACGGGUGGCAGCAGUGGGGAAUAUUGGACAAUGGGGGGAACCCUGAUCCAGCAAUGCCGCGUGUGUGAAGAAGGCCUGAGGGUUGUAAAGCACUUUCAGUGGGGAGGAGGUUUGGAAGGUUAAGAGCUAUUCAAAUGGACGUUACCCACAGAAGAAGCACCGGCUAACUCCGUGCCAGCAGCCGCCGUAA
rnacentral:rRNA from 1 species